AGUAAAUCAUAAAUGAAGUCAGACGACGCUGGAACGGACCGGCACAGCGUCUUCUUUCGUUGAGCUGGUAAUGAUAAAAUCUAAUUACAUAAAGAAUACUGGAAAUCAACUUUGAAAAGUAGGGAUGAGCCUGUUGAAGCGUCAUUGUGGACCACCAUUUGGAAUUGUGGUUAUCCUUCACCGACCUCCAGUUCCAGCCGUGUCAUUCUGCGGACCGAUUAGAAAACCAGUUUCGAGCGAAGGGUCGAAAUCGCAUUUCCAUUCGUGGAGAGAAGGAAGCUUGAAGCAGGUGAAAAUGAACAAGGCCGAGUAUCAGGAGUGGAUCAAGGGAAAGUAGUCGCCCAAUAGGGAAGACUUUCCACUAAUUUAGAGAUUGGAUGACGAAUUAUGGACUAGUUGAAGUUUGAAUCAUUCAAACGCUACAAUACUUGUUCUGAAAUUUUAUGUUCAAAUUUAAAUUAUGGAACUGUUUGUAAUUAACAUAUUUCGCAUGUUGGUUUCAAAUAGUUUCUAAAUAAAUGUAUUUCAAAUUGAAA